UUAGGUCCGCCCAGCCUAAUGGUAAGCAGCGCUACUUCUAGCAAUUCUCCGGGUUCUUCCUUCAGAGUACUCACUCACUCUCUCUUGCAGACUUUCCAGCCGUGACGUUCUGACCCAGCCGAUUCACCUGUAGUUCCAAUUUCUAAAAGGGUGUCUUGAAGAUGACAGUUGGCAUUGUUAUCUGAGGUCAAGAAGAGACAUAACGAUAAAGUGGUAAAAGAAAAGAUGGCCAAGACGUUCGUAUACAGGAGACAGGAGGUUGUCAAAGACAAGCCCAUGGUUGCGGAAUUCAAGAUCAGAUGGCCAGGAUUGUUCACUGUGGCAGAGGUGGAAGCAGAAUUUGUGAGGAUCACUACUGGUCCCCUUGUUCCAUGCACAGCUUGACCAACACACUGCCCAGCUCAUUGGUGUUUAAUAAAAAGGGAGGCUCUACAGGGACUAAAAUCAGAAGAACUCUGGUCCCAAUCACACAGAAAACUGCUAAAGAGAAGGGGGUGCAUCCUCAGGGCACUUUGUAUCUAUCUAAAUGAAGAACCGAACAUCCUUUUCAAAGAAUACCAG